rnacentral:rRNA from 1 species
AGAGUUUGAUCCUGGCUCAGGAUGAACGCUGGCGGCGUGCCUAAUACAUGCAAGUCGAGCGAACAGAUAAGGAGCUUGCUCCUUUGACGUUAGCGGCGGACGGGUGAGUAACACGUGGGUAACCUACCUAUAAGACUGGAAUAACUCCGGGAAACCGGGGCUAAUGCCGGAUAAUAUUUAGAACCGCAUGGUUCUAAAGUGAAAGAUGGUUUUGCUAUCACUUAUAGAUGGACCCGCGCCGUAUUAGCUAGUUGGUGGGGUAAUGGCUUACCAAGGCAACGAUACGUAGCCGACCUGAGAGGGUGAUCGGCCACACUGGAACUGAGACACGGUCCAGACUCCUACGGGAGGCAGCAGUAGGGAAUCUUCCGCAAUGGGCGAAAGCCUGACGGAGCAACGCCGCGCGAGUGAUGAAGGUCUUCGGAUCGUAAAACUCUGUUAUUAGGGAAGAACAAAUGUGUAAGUAACUGUGCACGUCUUGACGGUACCUAAUCAGAAAGCCACGGCUAACUACGUG